CAAAUUCCAGAUAACACAGAUCUGUGUAAAAAAAUUACACAGAUUGUAGAACAUGUUCUAGCUGUCAAAACUGUGUAGUUUUAUAACACAGAUCUGUGUAAAAAGUUACACAGAUUUCCGAUCAGCUUUCCUUUCAAAUCUGGGUAAAAAAGGAAAAGCUAAGAUGGCGUCGCUCUUGCAGCAAACUUUUACUUAUCAACAAACUGAUCAUCAUAUGCACCGUAAACCCAUGGGGAGCAGUGCUCGUAUUUGAAUUCAAGUUGUCUCACACACACUGAAUUCCUCCGACGUGGUGCUUUUGCGGAACCUCGGAAGUCCAGAGCCCCGGAACUCGAGCCCGCGCUAACCAUUUUCCCAAUUCCGGUUCCGAGCGGAGAGUUCCAUAGACAGCACUAGUAAACGGACACUGUCAGCUUUUCCGGGCCUGGGUAGUACGCUGAGUGGUCAAAUAUUUAGUUUAUGUUGUCUUAUGUAUAAAACCCAAAACAAAGAUUAAUAAAUGAUAUUAUAUUUUUUACUUGUAUUGGCCUGAAAAAUCGAAAUUAGAUUCUGAUUUUUUUUUAAU